CCUACGGGAGGCAGCAGUGGGGAAUCUUGCGCAAUGGGCGAAAGCCUGACGCAGCCAUGCCGCGUGGAUGAUGAAGGUCUUAGGAUUGUAAAAUCCUUUCACCGGUGAAGAUAAUGACUGUAGCCGGAGAAGAAGCCCCGGCUAACUUCGUGCCAGCAGCCGCGGUAAUACGAAGGGGGCUAGCGUUGCUCGGAAUUACUGGGCGUAAAGGGAGCGUAGGCGGACAUUUAAGUCAGAGGUGAAAUCCCGGAGCUUAACUUCGGAACUGCCUUUGAUACUGGGUGUCUUGAGUGUGAGAGAGGUAUGUGGAACUCCGAGUGUAGAGGUGAAAUUCGUAGAUAUUCGGAAGAACACCAGUGGCGAAGGCGACAUACUGGCUCAUUACUGACGCUGAGGCUCGAAAGCGUGGGGAGCAAACAGGAUUAGAUACCCUGGUAGUCCACGCCGUAACGAUGAUGUCUAGUGUCGGAGCUGUCUUCUCGGUGCGCAGCUACGCAUAAGUACAUCCGCCGUGGGAGGUACGGUCGCGAGAAGUUAAAACGUUAAAGGUAAAGUUAGUUACGGUCGUUGAGACGUUGCCGACGGACGACGACGAGGGGAGGUUAGG
rnacentral:rRNA from 1 species